rnacentral:lncRNA from 1 species
GCCUCCCGGGUUCAAACAAUUCUCCUGCCUCAGCCUCCCAAGUAGCUGGGAUUACAGGUAUGCGCCACCACGCCCUGCUAAUUUGGUGUUUGCAAUAGAGAUGGGGUUUCUCCAUGUUGGUUGGGCUGGUCUCGAACUCCCGACCUCAGGUGAUCUGGCCGCCUCAGCCUCCCAAAGUGCUGAGAUUACAGGCGUGAGCCACUGCACCCGACCCAUAAUUACAUUGAAAUAAACAUAACAUUGGCCGCUUGCUGUCAGUUUCCCUCCCUACAAUGGAAGCUCCUGUGCCCCUCCCAGCCGCUCUAGGCACUCAGUCAAUAUUUGUUAAAGGCAGAAAACGUGCUGCUUACAUGAUUUCCAACCAGCUUCUGAAUUCCAUAAAUCUAAUCAGAGCAAUACCCGGGGACAAAUUUUACCCAGAUGAGACACCCUUAUACUGUAGAUAUAUCUAGGAAAUGUUUUUUCUGUACACACUGUGCCUCUCAAUAUUGAAAAUGCUACAAAGUGCUCGCUUCGGCAGUGCACAGACUAAAACUGGAACGACACAGAGAAGAUGAGCAGGGCACCUAAUUUUAAAAAUGCUAACGAAAAUGUUAGAAAAACCAUAAAUGGGGCUGGGCGCAGUGGCUCACGCCUGUAAUCCCAGCACUUUGGGAGGCCGAGGCGGGUGGAUCAC